CCUACGGGUGGCAGCAGUGAGGAAUAUUGGUCAAUGGGCGAGAGCCUGAACCAGCCAAGUCGCGUGAGUGAGUACUGCCCUAUGGGUUGUAAACCUCUUUUGUCGGGGAGCAAAAGCCGGACGUGUCCGGCUGUGAGAGUACCCGAAGAAAACGCAUCGGCUAACUCGGGGCCAGCAGCCGCGGUAAUUCGGGGGAUGCGAGCGUUAUCCGGAUUUAUUGGGGUUAAAGGGUACGAAGGCGGAUUUUUAAGUCAGCGGUCAAAGCGUGGGGCUCAACCCCAUCCAGCCGUUGAAACUGGGGAUCUAGAGUGUGCGAGAGGUAUGCGGAAUGCGUGGUGUAGCGGUGAAAUGCAUAGAUAUCACGCAGAACCCCGAUGGCGAAGGCAGCAUACCGGUGUACAACUGACGCUCAGGCACGAAAGCGUGGGUAUCGAACAGGAUUAGAUACCCUUGUAGUC
rnacentral:rRNA from 1 species